GAUGAAGAACGUAGCGAAAUGCGAUACUUGGUGUGAAUUGCAGAAUCCCGUGAACCAUCGAGUCUUUGAACGCAAGUUGCGCCUGAAGCCAUUAGGCCGAGGGCACGCCUGCCUGGGCGUCACACGUCGUUGCCCCCCCAUCUACUCCUUCGGGAUUGCGGGGGGCGGAUGAUGGCCUCCCGUGCGCCUCGUCGCGCGGUUGGCAUAAAUGCCAAGUCCUCGGCGACGCACGCCACGACAAUCGGUGGUUGCGAAACCUCGGUUGCCCGUCGUGUGCGGUCGUCGCGCAUCGAGGGCUCGAAAAAAUGGCCGGGCUCCGGCUCGGCUUUCAACGCGACCCCAGGUCAGGCGGGGUUACCCGCUGAAUUUAAGCAUAUCAAUAAGCGGAGGA
rnacentral:misc_RNA from 1 species